rnacentral:rRNA from 1 species
CCUACGGGUGGCUGCAGUGAGGAAUAUUGGUCAAUGGCCGAGAGGCUGAACCAGCCAAGUCGCGUGAGGGAAGACGGCCCUACGGGUUGUAAACCUCUUUUGUCGGGGAGCAAAGCGAACCACGUGUGGUUCAUUGAGAGUACCCGAAGAAAAAGCAUCGGCUAACUCCGUGCCAGCAGCCGCGGUAAUACGGAGGGUGCGAGCGUUAUCCGGACUUAUUGGGUUUAAGGGGUGCGCAGGCGGAGGUGCAAGUCAGCGGUCAAAUUGCGGGGCUCAACCCCGUAGUGCCGUUGAAACUGCAUCCCUUGAGGGAGCGAGAAGUAUGCGGAAUGCGUGGUGUGGCGGUGAAAUGCAUAGAUAUCACGCAGAACUCCGAUUGCGAAGGCAGCAUACCGGCGCGCAACUGACGCUCAUGCACGAAAGCGUGGGUAUCGAACAGGAUUAGAUACCCUGGUAGUC